AGUGAUUUUUAACAAACCACAGGGACGAAAACAGUAAUUAACUCUUUUCUUUUUUUAUAUAUAGUUAAAGGGGCUUUAAAGAGAGACUUUAUUUCAUCCGGUGCAACUUAACAAUAAUACCUGCAUGCUUACGUGUUGCUUAGAAAGCAUGAUAGAAGCUUUAUCCCACAUUAUACAACCUAAUUGUGAUAAAAUUCUAGAAAAAAUCAUGAGAACUUUAGCAUCAACUACUUUAAAUAGUUGUAUCCACUUAUAUUAGAUAGUUGUAUAACUUUACCAUCUACAAUCCCGAACAACAAUGGUAUUAACAAUCACAACCACCUCCUGAAAAUCAAGAUUCAUGUGUCCGGCAUCGGGUUUAACAAACCGAUGUUGAUACAUCCGUAAUGACGAAUAUUCAAAACGAAAAAACAAAGAAAUUACAGGGUUCACUAACUUACAGAUCUGCAUUCCACUAUUGUCAACACCUCAAGUACAUACACACCAGAGAGUUUUCACCAGCGAACCACGGUUUCAACUUUCACACAGAAAAAUCGUACAAUGAUUGCUCAUAUCUGGCAACAGUAGACGAUUCUACAACGUCAUCACCUCCAUAACCGCCACCGUGAUUGCCGGAGUUGAAGUGAAGCAAGAAUACAUCAGGUCAGUGGUAAGGUCAGAGUGGAUUGUAACACCUCGAAAUUUUGUGUCCAAUAAUGUGUUGACACGCGUCAUGAGUUUA